ACAUGGGUGGCCCCAUAGGGACUUGGGUGGCCCCAUAGCGACGUGGUGGCCCCAUAGCGAUGUGGGUGAACCCAUAGGGACGUGGGUGGCCCCAUAGGGAUGUUGUCGCCCCAUAGGGACGUGGGUGGCCCCAUAGGGACGUGGUGCCCCCCCAGGAUGCUGGCGGCCCCAUAAGUGUGGGGCGCGGUGCGGGGGGGCGGUGUGGGGCGGUUGUGGGUCGGGGCGCGACGCUGUUGGCUGCUAAUAAAAAGAGAGAGCGACCGCACGCCUCCGCCCCACGGAUGGACCCACAGCGCUGCCCCAUAGCGACCCACAGAGACCCACCGAGCCCCAUAGAUCCCAUAGNGAGGAGGAAGGGGUUGGGGGCAGCCAGGAGGAGCUUGGUGGCAUCUUGGAGGAGUUUGGGGACAAGUAAGGGGAGCUUGGUGGCAUCUUGGAGGACCUGGGUGGCACCUUGGAGGACCUUGGAGACAAGUAAAGGCACCUUGGUGGCAUCUUGGAGGACCUUGGGGACACCAAAGGGGACCUUGGUGGCAUCUCAGAGGGGUUGGGGUCACCCAAGAGGAGCUUGGUGGCAUCUUGGAGGACCUUGGUGGCAUCUUGGAGGACCUUGGGGUCAUCCAGGAGGAGCUUGGGGACACCUAAAGGGACCUUGGUGGCACCUUGGAGGACCUUGGUGGCACCUUGGAGGACCUUGGGGACACCUAAAGGGACCUUGGUGGCAUCUUGGAGGACCUUGGGGACAAUAAAGGGCACCUUGGUGGCAUCUGAGAGGGGUUUGGCGUCAUCCAGGAGGACCUUGGUGGCAUCUUGGACGACCUUGGGGUCAUCCAGGAGGAGCUUGGGGACACCUAAGGGGACCUUGGUGGCAUCUUGGAGGACCUUGGUGGCAUUUUGGAGGACCUUGGGGACAAGUAAAGGCACCUUGGUGGCAUCUUGGAGGACCUUGGUGGCAUCUUGGAGGAGCUUGGGGACACCUAAGGGGACCUUGGUGGCAUCUCAGAGGGGUUUGGGGUCACCCAGGAGGAGCUUGGUGGCAUCUUGGAGGAGUUUGGGGACAAGUAAGGGGAGCUUGGUGGCAUCUUGGAGGACCUUGGUGGCACCUUGGAGGACCUUGGGGACACCUAAGGGGACCUUGGUGGCAUCUUGGAGGACCUUGGGGACAAUAAAGGGGACCUUGGUGGCA
rnacentral:lncRNA from 1 species